rnacentral:rRNA from 1 species
AGAGUUUGAUCAUGGCUCAGGACGAACGCUGGCGGCGUGCCUAAUACAUGCAAGUCGAGCGAGCGGAACUAACAGAUUUACUUCGGUAAUGACGUUAGGAAAGCGAGCGGCGGAUGGGUGAGUAACACGUGGGGAACCUGCCCCAUAGUCUGGGAUACCACUUGGAAACAGGUGCUAAUACCGGAUAAUAAAGCAGAUCGCAUGAUCAGCUUUUAAAAGGCGGCGUAAGCUGUCGCUAUGGGAUGGCCCCGCGGUGCAUUAGCUAGUUGGUAAGGUAAAGGCUUACCAAGGCGAUGAUGCAUAGCCGAGUUGAGAGACUGAUCGGCCACAUUGGGACUGAGACACGGCCCAAACUCCUACGGGAGGCAGCAGUAGGGAAUCUUCCACAAUGGACGCAAGUCUGAUGGAGCAACGCCGCGUGAGUGAAGAAGGUUUUCGGAUCGUAAAGCUCUGUUGUUGGUGAAGAAGGAUAGAGGUAGUAACUGGCCUUUAUUUGACGGUAAUCAACCAGAAAGUCACGGCUAACUACGUGCCAGCAGCCGCGGUAAUACGUAGGUGGCAAGCGUUGUCCGGAUUUAUUGGGCGUAAAGCGAGCGCAGGCGGAAGAAUAAGUCUGAUGUGAAAGCCCUCGGCUUAACCGAGGAACUGCAUCGGAAACUGUUUUUCUUGAGUGCAGAAGAGGACAGUGGAACUCCAUGUGUAGCGGUGAAAUGCGUAGAUAUAUGGAAGAACACCAGUGGCGAAGGCGGCUGUCUGGUCUGUAACUGACGCUGAGGCCCGAAAGCAUGGGUAGCAAACAGGAUUAGAUACCCUGGUAGUCCAUGCCGUAAACGAUGAGUGCUAGGUGUUGGAGGGUUUCCGCCCUUCAGUGCCGCAGCUAACGCAUUAAGCACUCCGCCUGGGGAGUACGACCGCAAGGUUGAAACUCAAAGGAAUUGACGGGGGCCCGCACAAGCGGUGGAGCAUGUGGUUUAAUUCGAAGCAACGCGAAGAACCUUACCAGGUCUUGACAUCCUUUGACCACUCUAGAGAUAGAGCUUUCCCUUCGGGGACAAAGUGACAGGUGGUGCAUGGUUGUCGUCAGCUCGUGUCGUGAGAUGUUGGGUUAAGUCCCGCAACGAGCGCAACCCUUAUUACUAGUUGCCAGCAUUUAGUUGGGCACUCUAGUGAGACUGCCGGUGAUAAACCGGAGGAAGGUGGGGACGACGUCAAAUCAUCAUGCCCCUUAUGACCUGGGCUACACACGUGCUACAAUGGAUGGUACAACGAGUUGCGAGACCGCGAGGUUUAGCUAAUCUCUUAAAACCAUUCCCAGUUCGGAUUGUAGGCUGCAACUCGCCUACAUGAAGCCGGAAUCGCUAGUAAUCGCGGAUCAGCAUGCCGCGGUGAAUACGUUCCCGGGCCUUGUACACACCGCCCGUCACACCAUGAGAGUUUGUAACACCCAAAGCCGGUGAGGUAACCCUUCGGGGAGCCAGCCGUCUAAGGUGGGACAGAUGAUUAGGGUGAAGUCGUAACAAGGUAACC